rnacentral:lncRNA from 1 species
GAGGCUCUCGCUCUACGGCUUCAAGGACGUCAAUCCCCGCUAAACCAUCGACUCCUGUCAAGACUCAUCCUACUCCCAAGGAGACUCCUAAGGAGCCCAUCGUGCUCAGCGAAUCGGCCUAGAGUAGUUCGAAAGAGGGCACCAGGACUGCUCCUCUGGAUGUUCCACCUAUCAAGGCUGUGGAGGCUGUCGUGAUUGGAGACGGGGUUAUUAAGUGGACCCAGACUUCAGAACCUGUAAUAGAGAGCAGGCCU